UUUCCGUAGGUGAACCUGCGGAAGGAUCAUUAAUAUAUGCGGGAAACCGCGGACUGCCUCAACUGCCACCUAGGUAGUAGUUAAGGUGUCCACUUUCUACCCCUUUGCCUAUUACGCGCACUUGAUUUCCUCAGCAGGCCAGCCUGCUCCGGGAUCUAUCCAAACCAUUUGAAGUAACAUGCAGUACCUGUUCAAACAUGAAUUAUCAAAACUUUCAACAAUGGAUCUCUUGGUUCUGGCAUCGAUGAAGAACGCAGC
rnacentral:misc_RNA from 1 species